rnacentral:tRNA from 1 species
GCGCCGGUGGUGUAAUCGUCUAAAGCAUUACCGCCCGGUCAGCAGAAGGUGCGGGUUCAACUCCCGCCUGGCGCU